rnacentral:tRNA from 1 species
CCGCGCGCUCGGCGAGAAGGACAAGCGCGGCGCGUCGCUGUCGGCGCUGCGCGAGCACUGGCGGCCCGUUUUGCUCGUGUUCGGGCUCACCACGGGCGGC